ACUCUUCAACCCGCCCUUUUCUUUUGAUCAGGUGUCGGUGUUUGGAUUUUGAGCCAUUUGCUAUUCGAAUAGCUGGCUCGUAAGACAUUAGCAUUUCAGUUUUCGUAAUCGGAUUGACUUGGCGUAAUAGACUAUUCGCUGAGGACACUUUUCGAAGUGGCCGAGAUGAGAAAGACGAAAAGCUUCUAAUCCCACUAGUCAUUAAAAGCAAUUUUAAG
rnacentral:misc_RNA from 2 species